rnacentral:rRNA from 1 species
AGAGUUUGAUUAUGGCUCAGGAUGAACGCUGGCGGCGUGCCUAAUACAUGCAAGUCGAACGCUUGCUUGAGGACUUGUCUUCAAGCAGGAGUGGCGAACGGGUGAGUAAUACAUAAGCAAUCUGCCCAUCGGCCUGGGAUAACAGUUGGAAACGACUGCUAAUACCGGAUAGGUGAUGAAGAGGCAUCUCUCGAUCAUUAAAGUUGGGAUACAACACGGAUGGAUGAGCUUAUGGCGUAUUAGCUAGUAGGUGAGGUAACGGCUCACCUAGGCGAUGAUACGUAGCCGACCUGAGAGGGUGACCGGCCACAUUGGGACUGAGACACGGCCCAA